rnacentral:rRNA from 1 species
AUUGAACGCUGGCGGCAUGCCUUACACAUGCAAGUCGAACGGCAGCACGGGAGCAAUCCUGGUGGCGAGUGGCGAACGGGUGAGUAAUAUAUCGGAACGUGCCCAGUCGUGGGGAUAACGUAGCGAAAGUUACGCUAAUACCGCAUACGAUCUACGGAUGAAAGCGGGGGGACUCGCAAGAGCCUCGCGCGAUUGGAGCGGCCGAUAUCAGAUUAGGUAGUUGGUGGGGUAAAGGCUCACCAAGCCAACGAUCUGUAGCUGGUCUGAGAGGACGACCAGCCACACUGGAACUGAGACACGGUCCAGACUCCUACGGGAGGCAGCAGUGGGGAAUUUUGGACAAUGGGCGAAAGCCUGAUCCAGCAAUGCCGCGUGCAGGAAGAAGGCCUUCGGUUGUAA